rnacentral:rRNA from 1 species
CAACGAUGAAGAGUUUGAUCCUGGCUCAGGAUGAACGCUAGCGGCAGGCCUAACACAUGCAAGUCGAGGGGUAACAGGGAGCUUGCUCCGCUGACGACCGGCGCACGGGUGCGCACCGCGUAUGGAACCUACCUUGUACAGGGGAAUAGCCCAGGGAAACUUGGAUUAAUGCCCCGUAGUACCACGCUCUGGCAUCAGGAUGUGGUUAAAGCCUUCGGGCGGUACAAGAUGGCCAUGCGUCCCAUUAGUUUGUUGGUAAGGUAACGGCUUACCAAGACUACGAUGGGUAGGGGCCCUG